rnacentral:rRNA from 1 species
UGAACGCUGGCGGCGUGCUUAAACAUGCAAGUCGAACGAACCUUCGGGUUAGUGGCGGACGGGUGAGUAACGCGUGAGAAUCUGCCCUCAGGAGGGGGACAACAGCUGGAAACGGCUGCUAAUACCCCAUAUGCCGCGAGGUGAAAUGAAUUUCGCCUGAGGAUGAGCUCGCGUCUGAUUAGCUAGUUGGUGUAGGUAAUGGCUCACCAAGGCAUCGAUCAGUAGCUGGUCUGAGAGGAUGAUCAGCCACACUGGGACUGAGACACGGCCCAGACUCCUACGGGAGGCAGCAGUGGGGAAUUUUCCGCAAUGGGCGAAAGCCUGACGGAGCAACGCCGCGUGAGGGAUGAAGGCCUCUGGGCUGUAAACCUCUUUUAUCAAGGAAGAAGAUCUGACGGU